UCAACCAUUUUUUUGGGAAAGUGGUACAUUCCACCUGUAUAAAAGGGGAUGUGAUUGACAUCCAGGUAGCAUGUCAUUUGGGGGUCACGGAUAUGACGUCAUCUUGUGUGCGCCGUGUUUAUGUCCAGCAGUGUGGCUGAGGAUGCGGAUAAACUUCUCUCUCUACAAACCUCGAACUCGUACGCCAGUGAGUGCGCGGGUCGGUGUGAGUUAUUAUCUGCAGUGACACGGGGGGCCAGGAGGUGUUGCAGCAGGCUUUUGUGGUCUAUUUGAGAGUAUUUGCACGCGUUUCAGUCUCGGCACCGGAGAGCUUCUGGGCGGGGUGGACUGUCCUUCAUUGUGCCUGCUAAUUCUUUCAACUACUCUUCUGCCAUUUACUGGACGGUGAAUGUUGUGGUACUGCAUACUUUGAUCAAAUUGACCGACUUAAUUGUAGCGCACUGGGGGGUUACCGUGACAACCGGAGCCGCUAGCGUUCCCGGCCUGAAGUGACUCAUCGCCCUCAAACUAAUUUGACUUUAACUUUGUGGGGGGUAAUUACAGACGAAUCAUUAAGUGUUUGACGCAACCAUUGUGUUUAACUGCCGUUUCUCUGUCAGACUAGUUUCUUUUGAAUUGCUUUACUUAAGAUUGUAUUUUAUUUUAUUUUGUUUGUAUGCAUACUGUGACACGUCACAACCUGUUGUGUUGCCCACAGUCUGUGAGUACCAGUGAGUGAGGAUUGCCAGUGACCUGGUGUCCUUGUUUCCGUCAGGCAGCGAGUGAUAAGUGUUUCUGACAAAUAAUAACCUGAUGUGCAUAUGUGACUGUGUAUGAAUGUGGGUAUUUUGUUUCUUAUGUUGUUCUGUUUCUUUCCCUUCAGAAUUGGGGUACCAGUCCUAGCCAGUGUCGUGUGUGGUGGUGGUGUGGCUGUAGGUUUGCGGUGUUCACAACGUGGGUGAUGAUGCUGUGUGGUUAGAGCACAAGUGUUUGCUGUGUUCAUUGGAUAAGUAACUUGAGUCCCCCAGUUCCGAAAUCGGAAAAUUGUUUGUCUUUCAUAUUUUUAUGAUCCAUGCCUAUCCCUUUUUUUAGUGCUUAUUAAAAUAAUAAAUUGUGUAUAUAUAAAUUAGUGAUUUUGAAUAAAUUGUUGAAUUCUGUGUACUGUGUCUGAUAUCUGUCUCAGCCACCACGUAUCUGUGUGCUGGUGAUACAUUUGUAUACCGGUAGGUCCCCGGCCAGUUUCCGGGGUGGCGUAGUCUAUAUUUCUUGCCAUAGUUGGCGCUGGGUUAAAUUCCCGACAACAGCAUUGCCAC